rnacentral:lncRNA from 1 species
GCAAAGAGCAGGAGCAGGAGGGACAUAGGAUUGCUCAUGGGACCCAUGAAUCUGGAAAGUAAAUUUGGAAAAAAGAAAAGAGUCACUGAUCUGCAGCCUUGGGCUCUGGGACAGGAAGUGGAGGUGCCAUUAAUGAAAGCUGACCCAGUGGUUCCCAAACCCUGCUGUGAAUGAGAACACCCCAGGAUCCUUAAAAUAUACUGGGGCCUGUACCCCAUCCCCAGACAUCUUGAUCUCAUUGGUGUGGGGGCAGCGUGGGCAUGGUGAGCUGUAGAGGAGUAGCAGGGUCUGUGGCAGGGACAGGGUGUGCAAGGAGAAGCAGGCAGCUCUGAGGGUCUGCUCAGAGUGGCAAUGACCUGGCCCCAGUGGCACUGGAGAAAGGUUAGCUGGAGAACUGUGGAAGGGAAAGGCGGGAGGGCAAGAAUGAAAGAGAAGAGAAGCCAAACCCCCAGGGGGUGCAGUGAGUGUGAGUCCAAUGUCUGUCACUAACUUCCUCUGUGACCAGGAUGAAUUGCUUCCCCUCUCUGGCCUCAGUUCCUCCACCUGGAAGAGAAGGGGAUUGAACUUCACGUUGACUGAUGAUUCUUCUGGCUCCAGGGUUGGAGGAUGCGCCCCAGCAGCCCCACCUCGUCCCAGCAGGCUGCACCUCCUGGGAGCAACAGGUACAAAGCCGGGCUUCAGCUGGCGUGUUGAGGAUGGCACAGGGAAGAGUAGAAGUCCCAAGAUCAGAGUUUCCUGUGGCGGCCUUCCCAUGGUGAGGACUUUGGAUUUUAUGCUUAGUGCUAUGGGGAAUCUGUGGGGGUUCCUGAGCAUUGGGGUGACAGGAUCUGACUUACAUUUUAUUAGCUGUUUGUGUGUUUAUUUACUUACUUUACAACCCGGGGCUGAUAUAUAUCUCACAACCAGGGGCAUAAAUGUGUUAUGUUUGGCCAGGGCAAAGUUACACUUGGGAGUGAACUCAUGCGUUCAAUAGCAUCCACUUACAUCAUCCAGAGGCAUUUGCAGAGGUCCGUGGGUGGGCCUGACUCAUCCUCCUAGGCUCCCUGACCUGCAUCUGCAGGAAGGGGAAAAGAGCAGACUGCAGGGAAGCCAUCACCCAGGAGAUCUGAGGCCCAGAGGCACAGCCCUCUUUGUUGGCUAUAUUUUUUCUUUCUUUUUUUUUUUUUUUUAAGAUUUUAUUUACUCAUGAGUGACACAGAGAGAGAGAGAGGCAGAGACACAGGUAGAGGGAGUAGCAGGCUCCAUGCAGGGAGCCCGACGUGGGACUCGAUCCCGGGACUCCAGGAUCACGCCCUGGGCCGAAGGCAGGCACUAAACCUCUGAGCCACCCAGGGAUCCCCUCUUUUUCUUUUUUUAAGUAGGCUUCACACCCAGUGUAGAGCCAACAUGGUGCUCAAACGCACAA